rnacentral:rRNA from 1 species
UACGUAGGGUGCAAGCGUUAAUCGGAAUUACGGGGCGUAAAGCGUGCGCAGGCGGUUCGCGAAGACAGAUGUGAAAUCCCCGGGCUUAACCUGGGAACUGCAUUUGUGACUGGCGGGCUAGAGUAUGGCAGAGGGGGGUAGAAUUCCACGUGUAGCAGUGAAAUGCGUAGAGAUGUGGAGGAAUACCGAUGGCGAAGGCAGCCCCCUGGGCCAAUACUGACGCUCAUGCACGAAAGCGUGGGGAGCAAACAGG